CUACGUGCCAGCAGCCGCGGUAAUACGGAGGGUGCAAGCGUUAAUCGGAAUUACUGGGCGUAAAGCGCACGCAGGCGGUCUGUCAAGUCGGAUGUGAAAUCCCCGGGCUCAACCUGGGAACUGCAUUCGAAACUGGCAGGCUAGAGUCUUGUAGAGGGGGGUAGAAUUCCACGUGUAGCAGUGAAAUGCGUAGAGAUGUGGAGGAAUACCGAUGGCGAAGGCAGCCUCCUGGGAUAACACUGACGUUCAUGCUCGAAAGCGUGGGUAGCAAACAGGAUUAGAUACCCUGGUAGUCCACGCCCUAAACGAUGUCAAUUAGCUGUUGGGCAACUUGAUUGCUUAGUAGCGUAGCUAACGCGUGAAAUUGACCGCCUGGGGAGUACGGUCGCAAGAUUAAAACUCAAAGGAAUUGACGGGGACCCGCACAAGCGGUGGAUGAUGUGGAUUAAUUCGAUGCAACGCGAAGAACCUUACCKGUCUUGACAU
rnacentral:rRNA from 1 species